rnacentral:lncRNA from 1 species
UCAAUAUACUUNCCUGCGUUUACUUGGAUUGCCUUCCUUCAUGACACAGAAGAAGCAUCCUGGGUAUGGACAGUCUGGUGAUACUUUAUCCAUGUUCAGAUAAAUAACUACUCAGUAAUCAUAGAGCAUCAAGUUAAUUCCUCCUAGAACUUCUGGUCAUAAAAUUACUUCAACACUGCAUUAAAAGACACAUAGUUUUGGAAGGUUAGAUGCAAAAUACAAAACAAAUGAAUCAUAUAGAAACAGAAAUAACGAAACUUGGCAAUGUUGUUGUUUUUUUUUUUUUUUUCAAUUUUAGAAUAAGGUAAUGCCAUAUUCUCCAAAUAACUUCUCUUAAUUGACGAACAAGCAACAAUGCAUAAAUGUCACUGUUAAAUCAUUAUAGAGCAUUAUCAAUGUAAUUGUUGAAGAAGCAAUUUGGAACCCAUUCAGGAAACUGUAUCAAUUUCCUUUUGAAUCCAUGGCAAGUGUGUGCAUUGACUAUUAAUCUUGAAUUACUCCAUGACCUGUUAACAGAUAUUGCAAAUGCCAUGGCAAGUAAAAAACCAUAUAUGACAUUCUUAAAUUGUUUUACAUGAAUCUACACUUACAAUCAUGCAUACCAACUCUGCACCCCAAAACUGAAGAUAUCGUUCUUAUGUAUUUAAAAAAAACCUUGUGCCAAUUUAUCUUGACCAAUCACUUUCACAAUGAUAUUUUUCAAAAAGAAUGGAAAAAAAAAAAAACCAGCCAAAACUACAUGUUAUUGUUGCAAAUUCAAAUCAUUUAUAUCUUACAUUUUCCACAUGAAGGACCCAUAUGUGAACAACACAAGAAUGCAAAAUAAACAAGACCAGAAAUCUAACCAAUAUCAAAAACCCAGAUUAAGGAAAUGCAAAACCUAAGAGAAAAAAAUUAUUUUUAAUGCAGGCUUCAGGAUCAAUGUCAAGCAUUUUUUUUAGUAAAAGGAAUAAAGUUAAAAAAAAUAAAAAUUUCAUCAGUUAAGAGUCCAAAAAAAUUGCCCAUAAAUUAGCAUGGAAAUUAAGGUCAAACAUUGUCAAGCAUGAAACACCAGAGCAACAGAAUCGCCUCUUCCCCACACAUAAAGCUAAUGGUUUCUAAAUCAAUCAGAUCUAAAGAGUAACGCAUUUGAUAGAAACAAAAACCAUCCUCAAGUUCCCAAACCCUAAUCACGUGGUCAACCAAAAGGAAAAGAAAAAUCGAUCAGGAUUCAAGUUUGAUGGGAGUAUACAUACAUUGAUUUCCAUAAAAGAACACAUUUUUUAUAAACAAAACGGAAAGGAAGAGAUGAAAACGCGAUACCUCAUGAAACACAAACCCGUUCUCUAUGUAUGACGGCGAAGAAGAAGCAGAAGCAGAAGUGAAUGGAGCAGCUUCAAUAAAACAAAUACCACAGAAUCAUGGACCAAAACAAAACUGCUUUUCCGCUUUUAAGUUUUUGCUGCGAGAAAGCAGAUUGCUUUUCUGUGAAUUUUCUGUUUCUACUUCUAUCGUUGCCAAAUCGACGAGCGCAGAGGGCGAGAGCUAGAGAGAGUUGAGUAGCAGAGAGCAGACGCCUCAAUACGACGGCGUUUGGGGAUUCAGACAGCGGAGAAGAUCUCGCAAUGAAAACACUGUUUUAAUGCAAUACCCAAAUUAAUUCUCCGGGAUGGAUAUGUUCACGGACGCUCUUUGUUGAAUCCAAUUACAUUCACGCGCUGUCCAUUCCCACUUUUCUGUAUCAUGAUUGGAUAGUGGGAGAGAGCGUGUGUGAUUGCAGGUGGGUUAGGUUUGGAUAUUAAAAGUUUACAAGACGGGCCAUCCAUUUUCUGUAUUAUUAUUGCG